rnacentral:rRNA from 1 species
AACGAACGCUGGCGGCAUGGCUAAGACAUGCAAGUCGAACGGACUGUGUAGCAAUAUGCAGUUAGUGGCGAAAGGGAGAGUAAUGAAUAGGUAAUGUACCUUGGACACCGGGAUAGCGCCGGGGGCAACCCCUUUGCGAAAGUGGCGAUAAUACCGGAUGAAGUCGUUGGGGGGCAUCUUCCGACGACCAAAGGGCGGCCGCAAGGCUGCCGGUCUUUGAGCAGCCUAUUUCCAUCACCUAGUUGGCGAGGUAACGGCUCACCAAGGGGACGACGGGUAGCGGGUGUGAGAGCACGAUCCGCCUCAUCGGGACUGAGACACUGCCCGGACACCUACGGGUGGCUGCAGUAACGAAUAUUGGGCAAUGGGCGAAAGCCUGACCCAGCAAUGCCGCGUGCGGGAGGAAGUCCCUCGGGAUGUAAACCGCUUUUAGGGUCUAACAGCGAGUCGGUAAAUAACCGGCAAAGUUGAGUCGACCCAGAAAAAGCCACGGCUAACUCUGUGCCAGCCGCCGCGGUAA